CCCGUUUCUUUCAGUUAAUAAAUGUCUGGGCUCCUCUCUCUCGGAAAGGUUGGCGUUCUUCACUUUGGUAAUGUCACGAGAGACACCUGUCCCCAUUCAGGGAGGCAGCAGGGAAGGGGAGCUCUUAGAACCACAGAAAUGAGAGAGCAGAGGAACCAAAGAGGUCAGCACAUCCAUCAGCGUGACACUCGGGCUGCCUUCUGCAGGGACCUUGUCAGGGAUUUGCUCUCCUCUGUUUUGACUCCAGAAAAAAAGAGGGAACAGGACAGACAGAGCUGCUGCGGUUAAGAAGGCAAUACCCUUUGGACAACUGUGGAGCCCAUCUAACUCUCUGAACCUCAGAACCUGUGGACUCUCCAAACCUCGGCUUGUCCCUUCUCCAGCAGCAAGUCCCUUCACCACUUCCCACGCUCACCUCCACACCUCUCAUUACCACCUCAAGCGUGAAGACUCAAGAUUACAGCUUUUCUGCAUGGAGUUCAAAUCCCUCCACAAGCUGGUCUGUGUUGAUGUCUCUCACUCAGAGUCAUGAUGCCGUGGUGCAGAAGGAACAUCGACGGUGCCCUCAGCUCCUGCGCUCUUCCCUGGAGUGUUAACGCCACCUUAUAGGAAUCUUGAUGCCUGUUCCUGGCUGGGGAAAUCGGGAUCAGCUGUGGCAUCCCACUUUUAAGAUGGCCGAUCUAAAGGACACUUAAUUGACAUUUGCCAACAUACCCAAGAAAUGGUUCAACUGAUCUUCUGGGGACAUCACUGAGAAAACUGACCCUGAGGACUAUUCCAUUCAGUCACCGCCUACUUGAGGUUUUCUCAUCACUGUGUCAUUCAAGGACAGUCUCUCUAGCUUGCCUUGGAUAAGAGAGGUACUGACAAGCUCAGUGGUGAUCAAACUUAGCCAUAACACAACAUUAGGCUGGCUUGCCUAAAGCCCUAGGUCCUCAACUCUACAUGGAACUUCUUCACUUUAAUUUAUUUGUUCCUCCUUGGACCCAGCAUCCCACUUCAUGUGCAUAACUACAAGCCAAUUUACUAGCUAGGUUUCUCUGGUAGUACAAUUUGAACGCAAUCUAUCAAGUUUCAGAUGACGUCCCCCAAUACACAUAUAUACAUUAGCUCUUUUCUUUCUUUUUUCUGAUGCUGGUGAUUGUGCCCAGGCUUUAUGCAUAGCAGACAAGCUGAGCCACACCCUAGCCUCGCAUCAGCCUUUUAGCGCUGCACAGGCAUACCCCAGAACCUUUGCCUAUAAAAGCGUUGCUUGCCUAUUUCCUGCCUGCGAUAUUUCUGGCCUAGACUUGGAGUAUAUUCCCACUGCGGUAGUCUCCCUCAGUAACAUUGUUCCUUGCUCAACUCCAGACUCACUUUUUAACUUUUGCUUUACAAGGCAAAAGAUAUCAUUUGGGAUUUGAUUUGGAAAGGGUUAAAAAAAAAUUAAACUUGUAAGAAAAUUUGAUUGCUUAAAUAGGAUAUUAAAUUGCUAAGAAACAAAACUUGGUACCUAUAUAACCCAAAUGACAUUAAAGUAUUUCUAAAAUAGGCACGGUGGCAAUAUCAUUGAAAAAUUAUUAUCUAGUUCUUAUAAUCUAGGGCAUAGUAAAGCCAACACAAAAGACAGGACAUCAUUCCAAAGCACAGAGUGUUCAUUUCUAUUCUGAUUCUUUAGAAGAGAAAGAAAAAUCUUUUACUAGCUCUGACUAAGAGGAUAUCACUAAUCCAAAAAAAAAAAUUGUCAUUUUAAUAGAAAACCAAAUUCUUUUCUUGCAUUGGUACAAUAUUCAAUAUUAAAUGUUUUCUUUUAAAUCUUACAAAUAAUCCCAUUAAAACUUAGCCAACUCUGACUACAAAAACUAGACUCCUCUUUCCCUUAAACUUGGACAACUUUACCUAGUCAAGUGUUUCCAUUGACUUUCCUCUAUGUCAUUCUGGAACAGUCACUCAUUGUACAUUGGAACAGAAUCACUCUUGUUUUCUUUAAAAAAAAAAAUAUAGAACUUAUGUGCCCUCAAAACAGUGCUCCUUUCUGCCACUGUCUCUUUCUAUUACGUGGAAAAAUACAGGAGGGGUUAAAAAGCAAAGCUGUUUGAUGGAUGCCUGCUAAAAUAGCAAGGUAGAUCUUAAUCAACCUAAACUGCCUCAGUGAUAUUUUUGCUAAAAGAGGGCCUAAGACCUUAACAAGAAAAAAGUGGGUUGGGGUGGAAAGUCGGGAGUUCAGUUUAGGAUGUGUGAAGCUUGAGAUGCUUCCAAGGACCUCACUGCCUCAUCCUCCGUGGAGAUGGUGAAUAGGAUGCAGGACACAGGAGCCUAGAGUCCAGGAGCCUUGUCUAGCUAAAGAUGGAAAUUUGGAUGUUGAUAACCUAGAGACAGACUUUAAGCCAUGCACAUAGAGGAAGUACCCCAUGGUAUGAAUGGGACAGACAGGAUGACCAAUGACCAAAGUCUGAGGUUCAGGGAUGCUAAAGGGACAGAACUAGAAUUAAAUGACAGUAUGACAAUGUCAGGCAGUGAAUGCUAUGAGAAGAUGCAAGCAGUUUUGAGUGUAUCAAACUGGCAGCUUCAUUUACAGUCUUGAGUGGGUAUAGAGACAAAGAGGGCUUCCUUGAAGAGGAGACCCUAGGCAAACACCCAAAAACUAAGGAAAACAGGUAAAAAGUAAUAAAAUAAUAAAAAUAUAAAAUAAAACAAAAAAUCAACAACAUAGAUAUCAUGGAUGAGGAAUGAGGAACUUAAUAAAAUAUCAAUAUAAAGAAUGGUCAUAUAGGCUGGGGCUGUAGCUCAGUGGCAGAACUCUUGCCUAGCACAUGUGAGGCACUGGGUUCGA